rnacentral:rRNA from 1 species
UGGGGAAUUUUGGACAAUGGGGGAAACCCUGAUCCAGCCAUCCCGCGUGUGCGAUGAAGGCCUUCGGGUUGUAAAGCACUUUUGGCAGGAAAGAAACGUCAUGGGUUAAUACCCCGUGAAACUGACGGUACCUGCAGAAUAAGCACCGGCUAACUACGUGCCAGCAGCCGCGGUAAUACGUAGGGUGCAAGCGUUAAUCGGAAUUACUGGGCGUAAAGCGUGCGCAGGCGGUUCGGAAAGAAAGAUGUGAAAUCCCAGAGCUCAACUUUGGAACUGCAUUUUUAACUACCGGGCUAGAGUGUGUCAGAGAGAGGUGGAAUUCCGCGUGUAGCAGUGAAAUGCGUAGAUAUGCGGAGGAACACCGAUGGCGAAGGCAGCCUCCGGGGAUAACACUGACGCUCAUGCACGAAAGCGUGGGGAGCAAACAGG